AACGAACGCUGGCGGCAGGCCUAACACAUGCAAGUCGAGCGAAGCCUUCGGGCUUAGCGGCGGACGGGUGAGUAACGCGUGGGAACGUGCCCUUUGGUACGGAAUAGCCCCGGGAAACUGGGAGUAAUACCGUAUGUGGUCGAGAGACGAAAGAUUUAUCGCCAAAGGAUCGGCCCGCGUUGGAUUAGGUAGUUGGUGGGGUAAUGGCCUACCAAGCCGACGAUCCAUAGCUGGUUUGAGAGGAUGAUCAGCCACACUGGGAGUGAGACACGGCCGAGACUCCUGCGGGAGGAAGCAGUGGGGAAUCUUAGACAUUGGGGGAAACCAUGAUCUAGCCAUGCCGGGAGAUCGAUGAAGGCCUUAGGGUUGUAAAGAUCAUUCAGUGGGGAAGAUAAUGACUGUACCCACAGAAGAAGCCCCGGAUAACUCCGUGCCAGCAGCCGCGGUAAUAC
rnacentral:rRNA from 1 species